rnacentral:lncRNA from 1 species
UGGGAAGCAGGCUUUCACCAGAAACCAAACCUGCUGGUGCCUUGAUCUUAGAUGUCCAGCCUCUAGAAUGGGGAAAGUAUGGCAACCUGAAAGGCCAAACAUCAGGCCUUGGGGAGAGUUAAGAACGUGCAAAACAGGUUUUGUGGAACAUGGCAUCGGUUGUUGAUGUGAUAAUGUGCACAGUAAGGUUGGGUAAAAUUCACAAAUCAACAAUAUGCAAGGAACGUUGAAAUGAGUUAAGCACCACAGGGAACCAAAACUGCGCAUGACACGGUUCCUACUUUCAAGGAACUUCCUAACACAUUGGAAAGACAGUUACAUGAUAAAGACUAGUAUGUCUUUACAUAUAGAAAACAUGGAUUCCUGAAAAGUGAGGGUUAUUUAAGCUGAGAAGUCGAAGAUCAAAGUGCCAGCAGAUUCUGUGUCUGGUGAGAACCUGCUUCCUGGUUCGAAGACAGCCGUCUUCUCACUUUAUGAGAAGUGUCCUUACGUGGCAGAAGGGGCCCACCUGGCUACUGAAGAAAUUUGCAAACCUAAUGAAAAUAUGAAACAACCCCAGUUCCAGGCCAGCCCCCACAUUGGCUGUCCAUCCCUGUGAGGUUGCAUUCUCCCAAGCAUUUGUCGAGCUGUCCAAGAGCCCUACAACACUCUCCAGUGGGGAAGCAGGCAAAUUUGGACACAGCAGAUGUCUGCUCCUGAAGACAGCUGGAAAUAACCACGUCUGAUAGAAUCAGCCAUGAGAGCGGGGCAGCACUGUUGUGUGUAAACAGCGUGUUAUCUCUGAGACUCUUAGACAGUGACACAAGCAGCCCCAGGCUCAACCUGUCCUCGAAACAGCAGUGAAGACACUUCACAUCUAGUCUUGUCCACAUAGAAUGAGAAUCACAGGCUUUUAGGACUGAAAGCCCCUUGGAGAUCAUGUCACAAGCCUCUCGUUUUGCAGAUUAACACCGAAAACAAAACCUAUAGACAAGGGGAUAUGUGGAGAAGUGUGAUAUUUAUAAUUGUCACAUAUGCAUGCCAGGAUCCCUAUGUAUUAUUUUAUUGGGCUUAAGCUAGUACAUUUGU